rnacentral:rRNA from 1 species
UCCAGACUCCUACGGGAGGCAGCAGUGAGGAAUAUUGGUCAAUGGCCGAGAGGCUGAACCAGCCAAGUCGCGUGAGGGAAGACGGCCCUACGGGUUGUAAACCUCUUUUGUCGGGGAGCAAAUUCCGCCACGUGUGGCGGAGUCGAGAGUACCCGAAGAAAAAGCAUCGGCUAACUCCGUGCCAGCAGCCGCGGUAAUACGGAGGAUGCGAGCGUUAUCCGGAUUUAUUGGGUUUAAAGGGUGCGCAGGCGGUCUGUUAAGUCAGCGGUCAAAGCCCGGGGCUCAACCCCGGCCCGUCGUUGAAACUGGCGGGCUGGAGUUGGAGAGAAGUACGCGGAAUGCGCGGUGUAGCGGUGAAAUGCUUAGAUAUCGCGCAGAACCCCGAUUGCGAAGGCAGCGUACCGGCUCCACACUGACGCUGAGGCACGAAAGCGUGGGUAUCGAACAGGAUUAGAUACCCUCGUA